rnacentral:rRNA from 1 species
AUUGAACGCUGGCGGAAUGCUUUACACAUGCAAGUCGAGCGGCAGCACGGGGGCAACCCUGGUGGCGAGCGGCGAACGGGUGAGUAACACAUCGGAACGUACCCUGUCGUGGGGGAUAACGAGUCGAAAGAUUCGCUAAUACCGCAUACGACCCGAGGGUGAAAGCGGGGGAUCGCAAGACCUCGCGCGACUGGAGCGGCCGAUGGCGGAUUAGCUAGUUGGUGGGGUAAAGGCCCACCAAGGCGACGAUCCGUAGCGGGUCUGAGAGGACGGCCCGCCACACUGGGACUGAGACACGGCCCAGACUCCUACGGGAGGCAGCAGUGGGGAAUUUUGGACAAUGGGGGGCAACCCUGAUCCAGCCAUUCCGCGUGAGUGAAGAAGGCCUUCGGGUUGUAAAGGACUCUUUCGGUCAGGAACGAAAAGGGACUCUCUCUAACAUAGGGGGUCGAAUGACGGUACCUGAAGAAGAAGCACCGGCGUAACUACGUAGCCAGCAGCCGCGGU